GUGCCAGCAGCCGCGGUAAUACGAAAGGUGCAAGCGUUAAUCGGAUUUACUGGGCGUAAAGCGCGCGUAGGUGGCCAAUUAAGUCAAAUGUGAAAUCCCCGAGCUUAACUUGGGAAUUGCAUUGGAUACUGGUUGGCUAGAGUAUCGGAGAGGAUGGUAGAAUUCCAGGUGUAGCGGUGAAAUGCGUACAGAUCUGGAGGAAUACCGAUGGCGUUGGCAGCCAUCUGGCCUAAUACUGACACUGAGGUGCGAAAGCAUGGGGAGCAAACAGGAUUAGAAAC
rnacentral:rRNA from 1 species